AGAAUCGACGCUGGCGGCGUGCCUAACACAUGCAAGUCGAACGAGAAAGUGGAGCAAUCCAUGAGUAAAGUGGCGACCGGGUGAGUAACACGUGACUAACCUACCUUCGAGUGGGGGAUAACCUCGGGAAACCGAGGCUAAUACCGCAUAACAUCGCAAGAUCAAAGCAGCAAUGCGCUGGAAGAGGGGGUCGCGGCUGAUUAGCUAGUUGGCGGGGUAAUGGCCCACCAAGGCGAAGAUCGGUA
rnacentral:rRNA from 1 species